CUCUGACGACCUUCCAGUCGAGGAAGCUGCGGGAGGGAUGGCGGUGCGGACAUGUGCUGAGUUUCCCUCUCAUCUCGUGCUCGUCACUCGGCCCCCACAGGCAGGCACUGGAGGUGCUCCCAGCCAGCUGGGUCUGGCACGUGAGGAAGGGCGGCAGCCCCGGAAGCGGCUUGAAUCGCUGCCCCAGCUCACCAGAGUCCCUCUGCUGCAUCCCGCGUCACUUCUGAGUCUUGGCAAUUUUAUAAUUGGCCCAAUGGGUUAUGAUUUGAAACCAGAAGAGCCAAUUAGCAGGAAUCUCCUUUGACCUCCGGUUAGGGGUGGUAGGAGACGAGGUAAUGACUUGAGACAGAGGAAGAAAAAAACAAAACUAAACUAAAAAUAAAAAUAGAAAAUAGUAAGAGCAAAGACUUAAAUCUUUUUGGCUCUCUGAUUAAUAACCCUGUCAGGCCGAUCACAAGCUCUAAACAGCAAUGCUGGUUGCAGCUGAAUUUUUUAUAUUUUCUAUUAAUCUUUAAUGAUAGCUUGGUCACCUAGUCUCUUUUAUCUUGUCAGAUAAAUGUAUGGUUAACAGGAUAAUGAGAUUUCUAAAGCCCCAUUCCAGCUCCCAGCUCUCUAGUGCAUGUGGUGACCUCUGACCCCCGGCAGACAGCGACACCAGGGUGCUGAUAAUUGGUAGGUGUGCUGGGAAUGUAUUGGAAGCUGAAGGAUGGUUUAAACUUUGAUUUGAGGUCAGUGAGGUCACAGAGCUCUGGAAGACCAGCCCGGUUUUAUUACCAACUGCCUCUGAUGGGGAUAUAAUUAGAUUUAGCUAUUGCUUUAUUAAUAAGUAAUCGCUUCCCCCAUCGCUGUGGGUGGGCAAAUGUAUUCCUUGGAUAAUUUGCGGACACUAGUCUGGCUUUAUUAAUAAGAAUAUAUCAUGCAUAUUUGCCAUAUCAGGCACAGACACCCAUCUGGUUUGCUGGACUUUGGGGGGACUUUAUCAUUUUCACUCAUUUGCGUAUUGAAUAAAUCGGCCGUGCCUUGUGAAAUCUAUCCUUGCCUCGGUGACCUCGAACUCCCUGUUGUUGUAGGGAACCUCUGUUUUGACCUCUUUCUCAAUGACUGAAGAAUAAAAAAUAUGUAAAUAAUUUUA